AUUGAACGCUGGCGGCAUGCCUUACACAUGCAAGUCGAACGGCAGCACGGGAGCAAUCCUGGUGGCGAGUGGCGAACGGGUGAGUAAUACAUCGGAACGUGUCCUGUAGUGGGGGAUAGCC
rnacentral:rRNA from 1 species